UACGAGGGGGGCGAGCGUUGUUCGGAAUUAUUGGGCGUAAAGGGUGCGUAGGCGGUUUGGUAAGUCUUGUGUGAAAUCUACAGGCUCAACUUGUAGUCUGCACGAGAAACUGCCGGGCUUGAGUGUGGGAGAGGUAAGUGGAAUUCCCAGUGUAGAGGUGAAAUUCGUAGAUAUUGGGAAGAACACCGGUGGCGAAGGCGGCGACCUGGUCCUUUACUGACGCUGAGGCGCGAAAGCGUGGGGAGCAAACAGG
rnacentral:rRNA from 1 species